AAGCUUGUCUGUGAAGAGGUGAAUGUGGACCGAUUUUAUCCCAUCUUAUACCCAAAGGCAUCCAGACUUAUUGUGACCUUUGAUGAGCACGUCAUCAACAACAACUUCAAGUUUGGAGUCAUCUACCAGAAAUUUGCGCAGACAUCAGAAGAGGAGCUAUUCGGAAACAAUGAGGAAAGUCCAGCUUUUGUUGAGUUUCUGGAGUUCUUGGGAGAGAAGAUUGAACUUCAUGAUUU